UACGGAGGGUGCAAGCAUUAAUCGGAUUUAUUGGGCGUAAAGGGCGCGUAGGCGGAAAGAAAGUCAGAUGUGAAAUCCUGGGGCUCAACCUCAGAACAGCAUUUGAAACUCUCUUUCUAGAGGGUAGAUGGAGAAAACGGAUCACGUGUAGCGGUGAAAUGCGUAGAUAUGUGGAAGAACACCCGUGGCGAAGGCGGUUCUCUAAUUUAUUCCUGACGCUGAGGCGCGAAAGUAA
rnacentral:rRNA from 1 species